rnacentral:lncRNA from 1 species
AUGUCAGGUCUAAAGUCUUUGACUUAGCCAGAAUUAAGAAGUGAACAACAGGAAAGUGGAGUAUUGCAUGCCAGUGUGGAGACUGCAGUUGAAAUUAGUCAGGCAAAGGACGUACUUCCUGUUGAGCAGUGCCGAACUUGAGCAAUCGAAGAUUCUAAGCAUUCUGAAAAAAGUCGAGAUCUUACAAGAAGAAAAAGGGAAAUUGAAACGGAGAAGAUCUAGCCAAGACAUGUUUUAAACCCUCG